rnacentral:misc_RNA from 1 species
GACACAGACGAGGAUGGAUAUUUGGACGAGACUGAGUUAGAGAAAUACCUCGGCCAGCGAGACGUUCUCGACUUCGUGGAGGCUUUAGAUCAGAACGGUGACGGGCAACUCUCCGUUGAUGAGUUUAAUGACAAGCAGUAAUUAACCAAUCAAUCAAUCAGAAUGUGCAGUUAUUAGGCUGAAUAAAGAAGAAAUUCCAAAACUCCUGAAGUUUAAAAUAAAACAGAUUUCAACAAUA